AUGGGGACAUGCAUCGUGAGUGACUCAGGAUCCCCAGCCUCUCUGGCCUGGCACCUGCCCACCCCUAGAGCUCUGGGCCUUGAGAGAGGCAAAUGCACACUCUUCUCACCUCCAGAGAGCAGCGUGGGGGUGUGGAUGCUGCUCAGGCCCUGGCAUCUCGUACGCCUGGGACCGGCCUCUGCCAUUCACAGGACUGUGCAGGUGGCCCCAUCAGAGGGUGGUGACAGCUGUCUCCUUCUGUAAGUGAGGAAGCCUCAUCCUUCCUUGGAUCCUCAGCAUCUCUUAACCAGCUGCGGCAGAGGUCGAAUUAGAAUGGCACCAGCUUUGGAUAAAAAUCCAGAUCUCGUUUUUCAAAACGUGUCUAGAGCUGGUGGCUGUAAGGAACCAGUCAAGCCUCAGCUGUGAUUCUAACCGGUUCAAGUUCACCUGAGAGCCCAACUCACUCAACCAAAGAGAACACAGUUUGGAUGGAGCUCAAGGUGCAUGGCUGGCUGGCAUAGCCUGGACAACCUCUUAAAGGCCUGGCUGCAGAGAUAGAAGAUCUGUCCCUCAAGUUGGGGAUAUCACCUGAGAAGUUCAAGUCCACUGCCUCACAGCUCAAACGAGUCAGCCUUACCAGUCAAGAAUUGUGCUGAUAAACAGACUCAGAGCCUGUGCUCAUGGUGUUGCCCAUCUGCAAGUGUCUCAGCUGGCCCUUCUGUAGGGGAUUGGGGAGGGUCAGUGCUCUCUGGGGCGGGGACUGGGUCUGUUUCCAGGCUCAGUGCCUCCGAGUCAUACAGAUACUAGGUGGUCCUGCUGCUUACCCUCGCUAAACCUCAGGCUUCUCGUGUAAACAGGGCACUUUUGAGGAAUUAUUAACAUCUCCCUGUGAGUCAAGGCAACUACCGAGAUCAUGUAUGUAAUGCUUGUAAUAAAUGCAGCUAUGUGCCAGGCA
rnacentral:lncRNA from 13 species